CUUCUUAUAUUAGCAGUGUUCAGAGAGGACUGGUUCUAUCUGAAAUCUGCUCAUCUAGUGGAACAACUAUGGAAGCAGCGUCCCAGGAGAGUGUUACAGCCAUGAAAUAAUUAUCUACCUCACCAGGCACAAAAGGCACUGAGUGUGGAGGGAUGCUGCCAUUCCCCUGCCUGAGGGGCAGGUCAGAGGGAAGCUGUCAAGGAGGAAUAUUCAGCUGCCGCUGCACUCUCUCCCAAUACUCAUCUUUCCAAGAAGGUUUAGAGGAUGUAAAGGAAAACAUUCUGCUGUUUCUCCUGGUGAAAUCACAGGGAACUGCAUCUCUAGGUGAACACAGACAGCCUCAAGAAGAGAGUUAUUCCUCGAUACACCUCUAAUGGGUGCCACCUGCAGCACAGCUCACAAGCUGUCGCUGAGACAGAAGACUCUGAGAUGCAGUAGAUGAUGAUGGAUCUCCAGCGGCAUUUGUAGUUGUCAGUGCCAUAGCAAGCUGAUGAACACCACCUCAGCCACGGAAAGAGGACAACUUCAGGAAGGAUCAUGGUCAAACCAUUAGCUUUAUCAGCCUUUCGUUGUGUCUCUACAUCCGCAGGGAGCUGUCAUACAGGUCUGCUGGUGAAACAGAGCAGGUGAGCACUCCUCAGCUGUUAUCGCUAAGGCACGUAACUUAAAGGCACAUAGUUUCAAAUUGCUGCAAGAAAGUUUGGAGCAGCGCUGACAGCUCUCCCAGAAACCAUAGUGUUGAUGAGCUUUAGAAGCAGCAGCUACUGUGCCACCCUGACAGGAAGGAGUAGCAGCAGCCUAAAAUACUCAGCCACGCCUCCAGCUUUUGCCUCAUUCCCUAACAUAAAACAUUCAAAGAUACCCGCUUUCCCACUUAAGUUUGUAAAAUUUGUGCUAUAUGGGUGGAAGUAGUCAAGUGCAAUUGUGGCUUCCUUUAAAGCGGUGUUACAGGAAUGCUAACACCACGUAUUCCUGUAUCCCAGAAAAGGAAAGAUACUCUUCAGAGAAAAGACGGUGAAGCUCUGGAACUGGUUGCGCAGAGGCUGUCAAAUCUCCGUCCUUGGAGAUACUCCUUGUGUGAGAGGCCAAGGCCCUGGGCGACCCAGUGUAGCUUUGAAGGGUCACUGCUCUAAGCAGAACAUUGGACCAGCUGGCCUUCAGAGGUUCCUCCCAACCCAAAUUAAGAUAUAGUUGUUUGAUACUUAAUCCAGUUAACCUGGAUUAACCGGUUAACUUAUGAACUAGAUCUACUCCUGCCCUACAGACACGGAGCAGUCCUAUUCUCAAACCUCAGAAAAGUAAAAUUCAUAAAGAGAGAAGGCAGUCUCUCUAAGCAUUUAGCCUGUUCUCAAAGUUACAGCGAAGGCUGGAGAAAUUCUUCCAAAAGAGCCUUAAAAACUGUCAAAAAUGAUUAAUAAGAAUUUGGAGCUUUUCUAAGCACUGCUUUCAAUAUCUUCAGUUUUUCUGAUUUAAGAGUGUCCAGUUCGGCCUAGAUCAAAUUAGCCGUCAACUGCCAGAGUAUCUAAUUAAGUCACUGUAAACCUUUUCAAUCAGUAGAAAUUCUAGCACUGCACCAGUACAGUUCGUAUUAACAUCUAUUGUGUCCCUCCUCCACUUUACUAUUGGCUCUAGAAUAGCAACAAAUUCUCUAAUAAACUUUUUUUUUUCUUAUUUUACGCUACAGAACUGAUUGCUUUACUUACCCUAAUGACUGAGAACAAGCUGGCCUUAGCCACCUGAAACAUGAGGCAAUGCUGGAAGAUUAGCGAGUCUUAAUCAUCAUUAACAUACGUACGUUGAUUUCAUGGGCAGCAAAAUAAAUACACAAUCACUUGCUAAUCACGUCUGCAUGCUUAGAAGUCUUCAUUCUUUUCAGGAAAUGUGAUGUUCCAUUAAGCUGUAGCAGAGAAAGGCAACUGAAACUUCCAGCAGUUGACAACAAAGAUACAGCAUAAUCAUCGAGUCCUCAACAUUCAUUUCCACACAGGUUUAAUCUAAUCCUAAUCAUUUAUUAUAAGAUUAAUUUGCUCUGCUAAAGCAAGAAGAUGAAAUUGCUAUAAUGAAGACACGAUAUCACUUUCUCACAGGAAUUCAGGGCAUUUUACUC